UACGUAGGGUCCGAGCGUUGUCCGGAAUUAUUGGGCGUAAAGGGCUCGUAGGCGGUUUGUCGCGUCGGGAGUGAAAACUUACAGCUUAACUGUGAGCGUGCUUCCGAUACGGGCAGACUUGAGGUAUUCAGGGGAGAACGGAAUUCCUGGUGUAGCGGUGAAAUGCGCAGAUAUCAGGAGGAACACCGGUGGCGAAGGCGGUUCUCUGGGCAUUACCUGACGCUGAGGAGCGAAAGUGUGGGGAGCGAACAGG
rnacentral:rRNA from 1 species